rnacentral:sRNA from 1 species
UAGACAUGAUGUUAACUUGCUAAUUAGAAUUUAGAAGUUCCUGGUCUGGUAGUUCCUAUUCUUUUGGAGAAGCUAACUUACUAGUGGACUUUCCUUUUCGUGUGUGUGUGUGUGUGUGUGUGUGUGUGUGUGUGUGUGUGUGUGUAAGUUACUCAGGAUUGAUCCCAGGACCUCACACAUUCUAG